rnacentral:rRNA from 1 species
GGUUAAGCGACUAAGCGUACACGGUGGAUGCCCUGGCAGUCAGAGGCGAUGAAGGACGUGCUAAUCUGCGAUAAGCGUCGGUGAGGUGAUAUGAACCGUUAUAACCGGCGAUUUCCGAAUGGGGAAACCCAGUGUGUUUCGACACACUAUCAUUAACUGAAUCCAUAGGUUAAUGAGGCGAACCGGGGGAACUGAAACAUCUAAGUACCCCGAGGAAAAGAAAUCAACCGAGAUUCCCCCAGUAGCGGCGAGCGAACGGGGAGGAGCCCAGAGCCUGAAUCAGUGUGUGUGUUAGUGGAAGCGUCUGGAAAGGCGCGCGAUACAGGGUGACAGCCCCGUACACAAAAAUGCACAUACUGUGAGCUCGAUGAGUAGGGCGGGACACGUGGUAUCCUGUCUGAAUAUGGGGGGACCAUCCUCCAAGGCUAAAUACUCCUGACUGACCGAUAGUGAACCAGUACCGUGAGGGAAAGGCGAAAAGAACCCCGGCGAGGGGAGUGAAAAAGAACCUGAAACCGUGUACGUACAAGCAGUGGGAGCCUCUUAAUGGGGUGACUGCGUACCUUUUGUAUAAUGGGUCAGCGACUUAUAUUCUGUAGCAAGGUUAACCGAAUAGGGGAGCCGAAGGGAAACCGAGUCUUAACUGGGCGUUAAGUUGCAGGGUAUAGACCCGAAACCCGGUGAUCUAGCCAUGGGCAGGUUGAAGGUUGGGUAACACUAACUGGAGGACCGAACCGACUAAUGUUGAAAAAUUAGCGGAUGACUUGUGGCUGGGGGUGAAAGGCCAAUCAAACCGGGAGAUAGCUGGUUCUCCCCGAAAGCUAUUUAGGUAGCGCCUCGUGAAUUCAUCUCCGGGGGUAGAGCACUGUUUCGGCAAGGGGGUCAUCCCGACUUACCAACCCGAUGCAAACUGCGAAUACCGGAGAAUGUUAUCACGGGAGACACACGGCGGG